GUCUACAGCCAUACCACCCUGAACACGCCCGAUCUUACCUGAUCUCAGAAGCUAAGCAGGGUCGGGCCUGGUUAGUACUUGGAUGGGAGACCACCUGGGAAUACCAGGUGCUGUGGGCU